AGAGUUUGAUCAUGGCUCAGAACGAACGCUGGCGGAAUGCUUUACACAUGCAAGUCGAACGAGUACUUUUUACGAGUGGCGAACGGGUGAGUAACGCGUGGGAACCUACCUUGAGGUAAAGAAUAACUGCAGGAAACUGUAGCUAAUGCUUUAUGUGCCCUAAGGGGGAAAAAUUUAUUGCCUUUUGAGGGGCCCGCGUCAGAUUAGCUUGUUGGUGAGGUAAUGGCUUACCAAGGCUAUGAUCUGUAGCUGGUUUGAGAGGAUGAUCAGCCACAUUGGGACUGAGACACGGCCCAGACUCCUACGGGAGGCAGCAGUGGGGAAUCUUGGACAAUGGGGGAAACCCUGAUCCAGCAAUUCCGCGUGAAUGAUGAAGGCCUUAGGGUUGUAAAGUUCUUUUAGUAAGGAAGAUGAUGACGGUACUUACAGAAAAAGCUCCGGCUAACUCCGUGCCAGCAGCCGCGGUAAUACGGGGGGGGCGAGCGUUGUUCGGAAUUACUGGGCGUAAAGAGCGAGCAGGUGGUUCAUUAAGUCAAUUGUGAAAGCUCAAGGCUUAACCUUGAAAUUGCUUUUGAUACUGAUGGACUAGAGUUUGGGAGAGGAUAGUGGAAUUCUAAGUGUAGAAGUGAAAUUCGUAGAUAUUUAGAGGAACACCGAUAGCGAAGGCAACUAUCUGGCCCUUUACUGACACUCAGAAGCGAAAGCUUGGGUAGCAAACAGGAUUAGAUACCCUGGUAGUCCAUGCUGUAAACGAUGAGUGCUAGAUGUUAGAAGUUUUACUUUUAGUAUCGAAGCUAACGCGUUAAGCACUCCGCCUGGGGAGUACGGCCGCA
rnacentral:rRNA from 1 species